UAAUUACAACUGCCCUGAGGAUGAUAAUGGCUAUUAUACUCAAGAGGACGGUCUUCCACACCAUUACCUGUAGACUCAGGUACCGUGCUAGGAAGGUAGAUCCCAGUUCUGUCUCUGGCUAUCUGGAUCUUCUGGUCCCCACCCCAAAACGAGGACGCAUUCUGUUGCAAAGCACAGGAGUAUCUGUGACCUCAGAAUAUGCAUUCCUUACCCCGCCAUGCGACCCUGAUUCCUUCCCCCGCACCUCCACACACAAUGCACUUCCACUUAUGGAUCUGAGAGUAUCCAUUAAACUCCCUUCCUGGCUAAUUCCAGGAAAGCAGGGACUGAAUCUAAGGCCCCUCGCACUGCGCGCCGGAGCACAGUACACGGAGCGAAGGGAUGCGAGGCCAAACCAUGCCAGGGGGACCUGGGCAAGACCGGUCCCUGCUCCCUCAGGUCCAGAAGGCUGGCCCCGGGGAAAGCCGAACUGGAAAGGUGUGCGAGAGGCAAAACCAAAAAAAAAGGGUGAUGACAGGACGCCCAUCCCCUUUCCACCCAUCUAUCUUUGAGGUAGGGAUGCUUGUGUUUAGGCAGCUCAAGAAAUUUAACCCCGGGGCUGGAGAGAUGGCUCAGCGGUUAAGAGCACUGACUGCUCUUCCAGAGGUCCUGAGUUCAAUUCCCAGCAACCACACGUGGCUCACAACCAUCUGUAAUGGGAUCCAAUGUCCCCUUCUGGUAUGUGUGAAGACAGCUACAGUCUAAUUACGUAUAUAAAAUAAAUAAAUCUUUUUAAAAAA